rnacentral:rRNA from 1 species
AGGGGAAUAUUGGACAAUGGGCGCAAGCCUGAUCCAGCCAUGCCGCGUGAGUGAUGAAGGCCCUAGGGUUGUAAAGCUCUUUCACCGGUGAAGAUAAUGACGGUAACCGGAGAAGAAGCCCCGGCUAACUUCGUGCCAGCAGCCGCGGUAAUACGAAGGGGGCUAGCGUUGUUCGGAUUUACUGGGCGUAAAGCGCACGUAGGCGGACUAUUAAGUCAGGGGUGAAAUCCCGGGGCUCAACCCCGGAACUGCCUUUGAUACUGGUAGUCUUGAGUUCGAGAGAGGUGAGUGGAAUUCCGAGUGUAGAGGUGAAAUUCGUAGAUAUUCGGAGGAACACCAGUGGCGAAGGCGGCUCACUGGCUCGAUACUGACGCUGAGGUGCGAAAGCGUGGGGAGCAAACAGG